UGUGGAUAAAUAAGGUGUUCAGCCAUCUGUGGUUUCUGCACCUUUACUGCUGCAUUUCAAGUGAAAGAGUUAACCUGACAACACCAACAGUUAAAAUGAAGGAAGUGAACAACACUUCAUUUCACAGCAUGGAGCACCCUUAAGAACUGCCAUUCAAAGAAAAAUCACGAAGCACUCCUUGCCCCUCAGCCCUGCUGCUCCAAUCUCCACCCACACUCCACCCUGUCUCUAAGAUGCUGGUUUGUAGCAGUGCUCUCUGCACUUUUCUGAAGGCCUUUCACCUUUGUGAACCAGUCCUGGUGUGUCCCAGACCUAAGGCAGGGAGGGAUCUGCUGAACAUCCACCUGGGAUGUGGCUAACAUGAAGCAAAACAGAGAUUUUUCUGUCAUCAUUUCUCUCCUUCCCUGUCUCUAUUAACUGUGUUGCUCAGAAGACCUUGGAUAUUUCCCAUGCACUAAGCUGAGCUCCUCUCCCUUCAGAGUUAAUGUAGGCAAAAAGACAGACCUCAGUGUUUAAUGUCUCUCUUCCAUCAUCACUACCCAGAGGUUUUUAGGGGGAUAUCUCACACCUACCUGCUUAGCGCUAGCACCCUUCUGCACCCUGCUCCUUGUCAGGGGACCACAGCAUCCUCUGCUAUCAUUAAUAGGUCCUCAUGUAUUCUCCACAGGCUCAUAAAAUUCUUGCUUAUCAGCCAAAUUUCAUAAUUUCACAUGAAAUAUGGCCAGUAGCCCCAAGUUCAGGCUGGCUGCCAGUCAUUUUGGCUCAGCCAAAACAUGGUAACUGUCUUUUAUGGUGAAAUGCAACAGAAUAUUUUUCUUGGUGUGCACACAUGAGCUAUCUCCUACAUGAUUUAAUGUUAUUCAUAUUAAAAAAACAUCUUACAAAAAAUAUUUACAAGCAUCUGUCAUUGUUGCAUUUCGAUUCUUUUGUAAGUAUAUUCAGCUUGUGCUCUCUUUAUAACCCAUAUAAACAGCAAGCCUGGCUUCACUGGCAUUUCUCAUCAAAAUAUGGAGCUUGCUGGAGCCCUCUGGAGACAGGAGCUCCACAUUCUGUCCAUAAGAAUGAGCAAAAAAUUCCCUACAGAGGUCAGAGGCAGCAGAAUGGGUUUCUCGAGGUGAUUAUGGGUGACUGACACAUCAGUCCUGCCCGCACUGUUCCAGUAAAAAGUUGGAGGAAGGAUACAACCGACAAAUUACAUAAAGCUCACCAUGGCGUUACUCAUGCUACUGCACAGUUCAUCCAUAUCAUUGAGUUUUCUGCUGUCUCAUAUCCAUGAACAUACCUACACCUUCAGGUAUUCCCAGCUGCUACACAGACAUAUUUCAGUAUUCUAUCUUGAAGUGGAGGAUGUUAAAAAACAGGGUUUCUAGCUCAUGUAAACUUUCUUCCCUUCGUACCCACAAUCCCUAUUGUUCCAAUGUGCUUUCACAACCUUUUGCACAAAUUGACAAUCUGAAGGCCUGAAAGGAGCAUCUGUCUGUUGAGAGCCAAAAAUUCAUGAGCUUUUGGCCUCUUAAGCUCAAAUAGAGACUUUGCAAACUCUGGUGCAGUUCUGCAGGAACUGCUUGGAAUUCAGAACACAAUGAGCCUGAGGUGUGUUAGAUACAGUACUUCAAAUAAAUCACUGUCUUUUGAUUAAAAAAAAAAAAAAAAAAAAAA